GAUGAACGCUAGCGGCAGGCCUAAUACAUGCAAGUCGGACGGGAUUCAGGAGCUUGCUUCUGAUGAGAGUGGCGCACGGGUGCGUAACACGUAUGUAACCUACCUUUAUCAGGGGGAUAGCCUCUCGAAAGAGAGAUUAAGCCCGCAUAAAAUCACAGCACAGCAUUGUGUAAUGAUCAAAUAUUUAUAGGAUAAAGAUGGGCAUGCGGAACAUUAGCUAGAUGGCGGGGUAACGGCCCACCAUGGCGACGAUGUUUAGGGGAUCUGAGAGGAUGGCCCCCCACACUGGUACUGAGACACGGACCAGACUCCUACGGGAGGCAGCAGUAAGGAAUAUUGGUCAAGGGGCGGAAGCCUGAACCAGCCGUGCCGCGUGCAGGAAGACGGCCCUACGGGUUGUAAACUGCUUUUAUACGGGAAUAAACCCAGAUACGUGUAUCUGGCUGAAUGUACUGUAAGAAUAAGGAUCGGCUAACUCCGUG
rnacentral:rRNA from 1 species